UGUGCUCUUCUUGGGAGCCAUAACCGAGU
rnacentral:piRNA from 1 species